rnacentral:rRNA from 1 species
GUCGAGAAUCUUUCACAAUGGGGGCAACCCUGAUGGAGCGACGCCGCGUGGAGGAUAAGGUCUUCGGAUUGUAAACUCCUGUCAUGCGUGAACAAGGUUGCUUGGUUAAUACCUGGGCAAAUUGAUGGUAACGCAAGAGGAAGAGACGGCUAACUCUGUGCCAGCAGCCGCGGUAAUACAGAGGUCUCAAGCGUUGUUCGGAAUCACUGGGCGUAAAGGGUGCGUAGGUGGCGUGGUAAGUCAGAUGUGAAAGCCCGGGAGUCAAACUCGGAACUGCAUCCGAUACUGCCAUGCUAGAGUACUGGAGAGGUGAGUAGAAUUCGCGGUGUAGCAGUGAAAUGCGUAGAUAUCGAGAGGAAUACCAAAGGCGUAGGCAGGUCACUGGACAGUUACUGACACUGAGGCACGAAGGCCAGGGGAGCGAACGGGAUUAGAUACCCCGGUAGUCC